rnacentral:lncRNA from 10 species
GGCUUGGGGAGGUGCAGGAGCGAGCGGCGUCCUCGUCCUCUCGUCCCGGCCCUGCCCGCUGUAGGCGAGGUCCGGGACCCCCGGGCCCUCGAGAGCUCGGAGGGGGCGCCGGGCUCCGGCUGCAAAGCUGUCCGCAGCCGGCUGCCCGCGCGCGGUCCCGCAGGGUCUGGGAAAGGCUUUGUUUUUAGAUUCAGUUGCUGUUGCGAGGGGCGGGGGUUAAGUGAGGAGGGGGAAAGCCAGUGACAAGGAAAUGGAAUAGGAUUUUUUUUAUUUUUUAUUUUGUGUGUGUGUGUGACGGUGUCACCGCUCUGUCGCCCAGGCUGGGAUGCAGUGGCGCGAUCUUGGCUCACUGCAGCCUCUACCUCCCGGGCCCAAGCGAUCCUCCCACCUCAGCCUCCAGCGUGGCUGGGACCACAGGUGUGUGCCACCAUGCCCGGUUAAUUUUUUGUAUUUUUGUUAGAGACACGGUUUCACCGUGUUGGCCAGGCUCGUCUCGAACUCCUGGACUCAAGCGAUCCGCCCGCCUCGGCCUUCCAAAGUGCUGGGGUUACAGGCGUGAGCCACGGCUCUGGCCAGAGUUGGAUAUUCAUAACAAUUUUUUUCUCGGGUAGUGUGUUAGGUGCACGACAUGUUUUAGGCAUUGCAGGAGUUUUGUUUUUUUUGGUUUGUUUAGAUGUAAAAGCUGUCAAAAAAAGGAAUUACAUUUAAUGUGAGGGAAAGCAUACAAAUAUGAAAGGUUAAACUUCAAAGGACACACUUACUGCUUCAUUGUCCAAUGUGUGGGAUCGAGAGAGGACUGAGUUCAAAAGACUUAAGGAGUAGGGACCUUACUAAAGGAAAGGAGGGAGGGAUUGGGAAGGUGGGGAGGAUAGAAAGGGUUAAUCAGGUUGGGCAAGUUUUAUUCUGUUAUAUAAAGACAUAAACUCUUAAAUUUGAUUUGUUUUCUAUUGUUAAAGUUAAUCUAAAUCUGUGAGUUUCUUGAUGAAAUUGGGAGUAAAAAAGUGAAGGAUAUCUAAAAUUAGAUGGUAUAUUUUAAAUCAUUCCCUGAUGUUGUUUUCUGUAUAGUAAACUGAUAAUCUGACUGACUGAGAUAUGCAAACAAAACCAAACUCCAAUGCUGCUUCAUUCAUUCAUUGUGUUGAAUCUUCAGAUUAACUGACACUUGACACCCUCUCCUGCCACAGCUCUACAAAAGCCCCUAAUUUGUGCAGUAGGCCCUACCACAGCAAGGCCUGCAAAGCAGGUGCUGUAUAUAAUGCGUUCCUAUUUGAUAGCUGAGUACUAGAAGCCUUUUGCUAUUCAGCCUCCAAGGUCCAUCAAUCUCUGGGUGCAGUUGUCCUCUGGGGCUCUCCUUUAGCCACCACCACCUCCACUGCUCCCUGGGGCUCUUCUCCCAUAGGACUGGUUCAGUAGGAAUAACAAUCUCUCCUUCCUUGGUUAACAACAAUAACAACAAUUUAUUGUGGACAUGUGCCCAUAACAAUUUAAUUAUGGGCACAUAUCAAAGCUUAAUUACAAUCAUGCUCCAAGAUCAAAGCCAAUUCCAAAAUUUCUCUCAGCAGAGACAUUUACAGAGAAAAGAGAAGUGGCUGGCAGGUGUGGUGGCUCAUGCCUGUAAUCCCAGCACUUUGGGAGGCCAAGGCGGGCAGGUCACCUGAGGUCAGGAGUUGGAGACCAGCCUGGCCAACAUGGCAAAAACCUGUCUCUACUAAAAAUACAAAAAUUAGCUGGGUGUGGUGGUGCAUGCCUGUAAUCCCAGCUUCUCGGGAGGCUGAGGUAGGAGAAUCACUUGAACCCAGAAGGCGGAGGUUGCAGUGAGCCGAGAUCAACCUGGGAGACAGAAUGAGACUCCAUCUCAAAAAAAAAAAAAAAAAAAAAAGGCCAAGGUGGGCAGAUCACUUGAGCUCAGGAAUUCGAGAUCAGCCUGAGCAACAUGGUGACACCCAUCUCUACUAAAAAUAUACACACACUCAAAAAUUAGCCGGGCAUACGUACCUGUGGUCCCAGCUACUCUGGAGGCUGAGAAGGGAGGAUCAGUUGAGCUCUGGGGGAUGGAAGAGGAGGAGCAGGCUGCAGUGAGUCAUGAUGGUGCCACUGCACUCCAGCCUGGGUGAUAGAGCGAGACCCUGUCUCAAAAAGACAGAUACAAAGAGAAGAGUAAUUUUAUUUAAAGGUUACUAAAUUCUUGACUGACAGCUGGGUGGGAAGGGAGCUCAUUUCCUUGGAAAAUUUCUUAUCCAAAAAUUGCUUAUUUUUUUAAACUAGAACACUUAUUUCUUUCAAGAAAAAUUUACAAAUUAUAUCAGGUAAAGUUUUAAUCCAAGAUCAAAUUUGGGGUAAUUUUUUCUUUACUUUUGAUGAUCCUAAGGAAAACUCCUUUUUUUUUUCAUUUUAAGAUUUUUUUUUUUAAUCCUUAAAGCCGACUUCGUAACUAAUAAAAAUGACAAAAGAUGAGGUUUAAAAUGUUUCAGAAUCUUAGAAAACAUCUUAGAACCACAAUCCUUGACCUGUGUAAUUCAUCUUUUCCUUAGUUAGGAACCAGAAGUCCUUUGAAGUGCAGGCCCUUUCUCCACCGCCAUUUGCAUCCUUGUGCAAGGUCUGGACUAUAGUUUUUUAGCAUCUACUGUUUAUCAGGCACUUGACAUAACAUCAACUCAUUUAUUCUUCAUAACAGCCUUGGAAGUGGCACUGAUU